CCUACGGGCUGCACCAGUGGGGAAUAUUGGACAAUGGGCGAAAGCCUGAUCCAGCAGUGCCGCGUGUGUGAAGAAGGUCUUCGGAUUGUAAAGCUCUUUCACCGGUGAAGAUAAUGACGGUAACCGGAGAAGAAGCCCCGGCUAACUUCGUGCCAGCAGCCGCGGUAAUACGAAGGGGGCUAGCGUUGUUCGGAAUUACUGGGCGUAAAGCGCGCGUAGGCGGAUAGAUAAGUCAGAGGUGAAAUCCCGGGGCUCAACCCCGGAAUUGCCUUUGAUACUGUUUAUCUUGAGUGCAGAAGAGGUAAGUGGAAUUCCGAGUGUAGAGGUGAAAUUCGUAGAUAUUCGGAGGAACACCAGUGGCGAAGGCGGCAACCUGGCUCGAUACUGACGCUGAGGCGCGAAAGCGUGGGGAGCAAACAGGAUUAGAUACCCGUGUAGUC
rnacentral:rRNA from 1 species